rnacentral:lncRNA from 1 species
AUACCUACUGAAUGUCAAAGUUAACAAAUAUCAAAAUAAGAUCUUUCACCUUCUACAAAUAUUUCUUCAUAUUUUCCUCCCAUGCCUUGAAAUCUCCCUUCACUUAUCCCACCAUCAACUGGGAGUCACUGCAGAUCCUCAGCUUUUAUACUCUGAGUUCUUUUACAAUAUUUAGUUUGAUGAUGAGAGCUUCAUAUUUGGCUUCAUUGUUGAUAGCUAGAAAGUCAAGCUGUAAG